rnacentral:lncRNA from 1 species
GUUGGCAAAGGUUUUAUAACAUGCUUCAUCAAAAGUACUCAUCAGCAGUGCUUAUGCUGAGAAGCACCAGUAAAUAUUCCUGAUGCUGGGGUUACAUUGGCUAGAUUAAAUGAACCUUCAAUCAUCUGUUCUUGCAUAAUGGCAUGAGGUGAGCAUCAAGCACAGCAGUUUAUUCUUACAGCACAGUCACCAGUCUGCAGCUCCAGAAGCUCCCAGAAUUGAAUGUGAUCCUACAUUAUUUCAGAAAUAAAGGAUACCAAGUAAUAAAGUUGCAACAGCAGAACAAGGACUACGAAAGAGCAACAUUGGUGUCAGUUUUUGACUGUUUAAGUCACACUAUUCUAUCAGGAGGAAGAAGUGGGAAUUUACAAGAGAAGGGCACUGCGUGCAGUGGGAGGCCCUCACAUCACCCAUCAUUGCACUGCAAGACACGUCAUUGCAACUGGUAGCACACCUGCACCAGGAUGGGCUUUUUGCACAAAAGGGGAUCAGUGUGCUCUUCAGGACUGCAGCAUGAUCUUACAUUGCAUGGGUACUUCUGAGAUGGUGAUAAACCAUAAAUCUGAGGUGGCAUAAACCAUGAAUGAAGAGGAAAAGGUAGGGGAGGUGGGAAGACUGCAGCAACCUCAGCCUGUUAUGCAACUCUUACACUAUUGAAGAAAAUAAAUGUAUGUGUGGAUCCUGAGAAAUUUCUACU